rnacentral:rRNA from 1 species
UACGUAGGAGGCAAGCGUUGUCCGGAUUUAUUGGGCGUAAAGCGCGUGUAGGCGGCCUGACAGGUCUGCUGUGAAAACUCGAGGCUCAACCUCGAGAUGUCGGCGGAAACCGUCUGGCUAGAGUCCGGAAGAGGAGAGUGGAAUUCCUGGUGUAGCGGUGAAAUGCGCAGAUAUCAGGAAGAACACCUGUGGCGAAGGCAGCUCUCUGGGACGGUACUGACGCUGGGGUGCGAAAGCGUGGGGAGCGAACAGG